UGGGGAAUAUUGCGCAAUGGGCGAAAGCCUGACCCAGCAACGCCGCGUGAAGGAUGAAGUAUUUCGGUAUGUAAACUUCGAAAGAAUAGGAAGAAUAAAUGACGGUACUAUUUAUAAGGUCCGGCUAACUACGUGCCAGCAGCCGCGGUAAUACGUAGGGACCAAGCGUUGUUCGGAUUUACUGGGCGUAAAGGGCGCGUAGGCGGCAAUUCAAGUCAUCUGUGAAAUCUCCGGGCUUAACCUGGGAACUGCGUUUGAAACUGAGGGGCUAGAGUGUGGAAGAGGGGGGUGGAAUUCCAGGUGUAGCAGUGAAAUGCGUAGAGAUCUGGAGGAACACCGAUGGCGAAGGCAGCCCCCUGGGCUAACACUGACGCUCAUGCACGAAAGCGUGGGGAGCAAACAGGAUUAGAUACCCCCGUAGUCCCUGAGCGGGCUGGCAAGGCGCAU
rnacentral:rRNA from 1 species